AAAACCUUAAGUUAAACUAAACUAAUAGCCUUCAAAGCCAUAAAUAAAGAAAUAAUCUUUAGGUUUUA
rnacentral:tRNA from 2 species